rnacentral:rRNA from 1 species
GACGAACGCUGGCGGCGUGCUUAACACAUGCAAGUCGAACGGAAAGGCCCUGCUCUUGUGGGGCUCUCGAGUGGCGAACGGGUGAGUAACACGCGAGUAACCCGCCCUUGACUGUGGGAGAACUUCAGGAAACUGCGGCUAAUACCCCAGAGGAGCUCCUGCUGCAUGGUGGGGGUUGGUAAGUGUCGGCGGUUGGGGCUGGACUCGCGGCUUAUGCGCUUGAUGGUCGGGUAGGGGCUGACCAAGCCUGUGACGGGUAGCCGGCAUGAGAGGGUGGCCGGCCACAUUGGGACUGAGAUACGGACCAGACUCCUACGGGAGGCAGCAGUCGGGAAUAUUGCACAAUGGGCGGAAGCGUGAUGCAGCAACGCCGCGUGCGGGAUGACGGCCUUCGGGUUGUAAACCGCUUUCGACUGUGACGUAGCGUGAGUGACGGUAAUGGGUAAAGAAGCACCGGCUAACUACGUG